rnacentral:rRNA from 1 species
UACGUAGGGGGCUAGCGUUGUCCGGAAUCAUUGGGCGUAAAGCGCGUGUAGGCGGUCCGGUAAGUCCGCUGUGAAAGUCGGGGGGCUCAACCCUCGGAUGCCGGUGGAUACUGUCGGGCUUGAGUACGGAAGAGGCGAGUGGAAUUCCUGGUGUAGCGGUGAAAUGCGCAGAUAUCGGAAGGAACAUCAGUGGCGAAAGCGGCUUCCUGGACCAGAACUGACGAUCAGGCUCGAAAGCGUGGGGAGCAAACAGG